CGGCCCGUGGUGGAAGCAGGCGGAGGCAAAUCAACCGCAGAGGCUUGACGGCCAGAGCGAUGGCGGCCGGCGUGGCCCUGGAAGGUCGGGCGAUGUCGCCAUAUCGGCCGUCCCGAAGGCCGGGAUGCGCUGCCACUCAGCUCUCUCCCCCAACAGAUCGAAGGCCGAAGCGGCGGCAGUUUGGACUGAGAACUGCAGGUGCGAGGUGCGGGGUAUUCUCUGCCCACUUCCAAUCAUGCCCCCUUUGCAACUUCUUUAUUUCUUGGGAUUGGACAAUGCACUCUAUGUCUUGAUGAAUUGGUCACUUGCCACGGCUUCAGUUAUAGCAUAAGGAUUUUCCUUGGGAAUAAUGGAGCUAAUUCAAUGACAAGAAAGCAACUAUGAAGUACAUCAGAUAGAUGUUCAAAAAACUAUUCUAAAUGGUUUGGUCAAAAUCAAGGAUCUGGAUCAUCUAGCUAUACUGAAAGGCUAUCUUUGUGAUAUAUAUUUUUUCCUGUUGCUUUCGAAUCAUAGAGGCUUCCUAAUCUUUUUUUGUAUGCAUCAGAGUGAUGAAUCGACUUGACAUCAAUCAUCUUUCGAGUUUUGGGAGGGAGCAAUUUUGGCACUAUAUCCUAACCUUAAGUGGUGCUUAUGAGAAUUUGACUUGAAAAACACACUACCGCAUAUACCAUAUCAGAUAAAGAUGUUACAAAAUAUAAUUUGGAGGACAACUGUCAGUGAGCUUAAGGACGUUGCCUUCUUCGCUCCUUAUGUAUGUGUAUAACUUGGUCCCUUUAUGUUGUCGUCAUGUGUUGAAGCCCAAGAUUCAUUUUUCGCUAUGUGUUUUGCCCUUAUAUUUUCAUGCAUGUUCCUGUCUGCUUUGAUUUGCCAAUUGACACGUGUUCUCAUGACCACCAAUACACCCAACACUGCAAAGAGGGCCUUUUCUCUGAGAGAUAAAAGGAACGCUGGGCUCAAAUGUGUGCUUUGGAGACAAAGAGCUGCUGAAUUCAAUGAUAAUGGCUAGAGCUCUGCUGCUGUUGGGAUCUUUUUUGGUGUCCUUAUAAAAUAUUAUAACAGUGGGUUUGUUUUUUAACAUUUGAUGCAUUGCCUUCUCAAUACAUAUAUCCAGUUCUGGUUUUAGUGAGCACCUGAAGCAAGAUGGUACCUCAAUGAAGACUUGCCUAAUAUUGACUCUUGCUUUGAAAGAUGUGUUCUAGAGGAAGAAGAUGGAGUUCUAUAAUUCUAUAGAAGAAUUGGGCUUAAAUCUUACUGUUCAAACAGGUCGGGGUAGCAUGUGCCGUUGAGAGGAAGGUGAGAUGCGAAAGGGGAGAGGAGAUGUCAAAGGUUGCAAAGAGAAGAAAUGCUAUCUAGGCACAACUCGGAGGAGAGAGGCAGGCAAAUCACUAGCGGUCUAUUAUUGUUCUGAUUUCCACCUUCUAGAAUGGUCUUUUAGCCAUAGAAAUGCUAAUGUCAAACUUGUUUUCUUAUAAUUUAUGAAUUAUCAACUAUGUGGAGCAUCAAGUUUUGACGUGUUCA